GAUGAACGCUGGCGGCGUGCCUAAUACAUGCAAGUCGAGCGAACAGACGAGGAGCUUGCUCCUCUGACGUUAGCGGCGGACGGGUGAGUAACACGUGGAUAACCUACCUAUAAGACCGGGAUAACUUCGGGAAACCGGAGCUAAUACCGGAUAAUAUAUUCAACCGCAUGGUUCAAUAGUGAAAGACGGUUUUGCUGUCACUUAUAGAUGGAUCCGCGCCGCAUUAGCUAGUUGGUAAGGUAACGGCUUACCAAGGCAACGAUGCGUAGCCGACCUGAGAGGGUGAUCGGCCACACUGGAACUGAGACACGGUCCAGACUCCUACGGGAGGCAGCAGUAGGGAAUCUUCCGCAAUGGGCGAAAGCCUGACGGAGCAACGCCGCGUGAGUGAUGAAGGUCUUCGGAUCGUAAAACUCUGUUAUUAGGGAAGAACAAAUGUGUAAGUAACUAUGCACGUCUUGACGGUACCUAAUCAGAAAGCCACGGCUAACUACGUG
rnacentral:rRNA from 1 species